UGAACGCUGGCGGCGUGCCUAAUACAUGCAAGUCGAGCGAACAGAUAAGGAGCUUGCUCCUUUGACGUUAGCGGCGGACGGGUGAGUAACACGUGGGUAACCUACCUAUAAGACUGGGAUAACUUCGGGAAACCGGAGCUAAUACCGGAUAACAUUUGGAACCGCAUGGUUCUAAAGUGAAAGAUGGUUUUGCUAUCACUUAUAGAUGGACCCGCGCCGUAUUAGCUAGUUGGUAAGGUAACGGCUUACCAAGGCGACGAUACGUAGCCGACCUGAGAGGGUGAUCGGCCACACUGGAACUGAGACACGGUCCAGACUCCUACGGGAGGCAGCAGUAGGGAAUCUUCCGCAAUGGGCGAAAGCCUGACGGAGCAACGCCGCGUGAGUGAUGAAGGGUUUCGGCUCGUAAAACUCUGUUAUUAGGGAAGAACAAACGUGUAAGUAACUGUGCACGUCUUGACGGUACCUAAUCAGAAAGCCACGGCUAACUACGUGCCAGCAGCCGCGGUAAUACGUAGGUGGCAAGCGUUAUCCGGAAUUAUUGGGCGUAAAGCGCGCGUAGGCGGUUUCUUAAGUCUGAUGUGAAAGCCCACGGCUCAACCGUGGAGGGUCAUUGGAAACUGGGAAACUUGAGUGCAGAAGAGGAAAGUGGAAUUCCAUGUGUAGCGGUGAAAUGCGCAGAGAUAUGGAGGAACACCAGUGGCGAAGGCGACUUUCUGGUCUGUAACUGACGCUGAUGUGCGAAAGCGUGGGGAUCAAACAGGAUUAGAUACCCUGGUAGUCCACGCCGUAAACGAUGAGUGCUAAGUGUUAGGGGGUUUCCGCCCCUUAGUGCUGCAGCUAACGCAUUAAGCACUCCGCCUGGGGAGUACGACCGCAAGGUUGAAACUCAAAGGAAUUGACGGGGACCCGCACAAGCGGUGGAGCAUGUGGUUUAAUUCGAAGCAACGCGAAGAACCUUACCAAAUCUUGACAUCCUUUGAAAACUCUAGAGAUAGAGCCUUCCCCUUCGGGGGACAAAGUGACAGGUGGUGCAUGGUUGUCGUCAGCUCGUGUCGUGAGAUGUUGGGUUAAGUCCCGCAACGAGCGCAACCCUUAAGCUUAGUUGCCAUCAUUAAGUUGGGCACUCUAGGUUGACUGCCGGUGACAAACCGGAGGAAGGUGGGGAUGACGUCAAAUCAUCAUGCCCCUUAUGAUUUGGGCUACACACGUGCUACAAUGGACAAUACAAAGGGCAGCUAAACCGCGAGGUCAUGCAAAUCCCAUAAAGUUGUUCUCAGUUCGGAUUGUAGUCUGCAACUCGACUACAUGAAGCUGGAAUCGCUAGUAAUCGUAGAUCAGCAUGCUACGGUGAAUACGUUCCCGGGUCUUGUACACACCGCCCGUCACACCACGAGAGUUUGUAACACCCGAAGCCGGUGGAGUAACCAUUUAUGGAGCUAGCCGUCGAAGGUGGGACAAA
rnacentral:rRNA from 1 species